rnacentral:lncRNA from 1 species
CACAGACAGCUGCUCACUGCCCUCCUGCACCGCAUGUGGGACCUGCUCCACAACAAGAUUCUGCGUGGCUGCAGUGUACUAUGGGCUCUGCAGGAUUGAUUCACAGUUUGAACCGCAGCAGUAGUAUAAUCCCUGCAUCCACAAUAAAAAGAUGCUGUACCUAAUUUCCAGACUAAUGCCAGAUGCGAGGAGGUUGCCGAUUUGAAGCGAGUGGGGAAUCUGAGCAUGUGGAGGCAGACAGACAGGGUGAGCAGGAGAAUCAUGGGUUGUGGAAGAGUGUUUCUGACACAAAUACGACUAGGAGGAAAUCUGACUUGGCGCUAUGGAAACACGCCCCCCUUCCGUCUCCUAGUAAAACUCCCAGAAUACCAGUUGUCAUUUUCAGAGUGGCUUGCAGCUGAACUCAGAGUGCAAAGGAGUGAGGAUGCCCUGUCUGACCCAGAUAAGUGAAGCACAUGCCUUAAUAAGCAACACACAGAUUCAUUUUGGUAUAUAUUGAUGUGUUGAAUAUGUAACAGAGCCUGUGUGCAGACGGGGUCAGUAUUGGACUGAUCUGUAAUCCAGAUCAUUCUAAUUAUCCAAUAGACAUUGUUGAAGUCAGUUCAGUAUCAGUAUUGUUUGAAAUCAGAGUGAAGAGGACUCUGGACUGUGAGACCAUCAUGGAAUAUAUCAACUAGUAUCAGGUGUGUCCAUAUGGGGGUUAAGAGAGGGAGGGACUAUAACAGAGCAGGAUGAUUCAGUUAGCUACAGUCUGAAUACAUGUGUGAAUCCAUAGUUCAAUUCUCAUCAUGACCAAACCUGUCGAAAUCAAGACCCUUAUUUAUUUUUACAGAAAUACUAUGAUGUUUCCCAGAUUUGAUUAUUAUUGUUAUUCUGCGUUUCUUUGUGUAUCAGAAGAAGGGCAGCUUCCAAGCUGGCCUGCUGCACUACCAUCUCAC